AUAUGAAAUAAAGCUGCCAAGGCAGCUUUGUGAAAUAUCGUGCUGCGCACGAUGUGAAAUAUUCGACUGACGUCGAAUGUGAUAAUUACU
rnacentral:misc_RNA from 1 species